AUACGGAGGGGGCUAGCGUUGUUCGGAAUUACUGGGCGUAAAGCGUACGUAGGCGGACUGAUCAGUUGGGGGUGAAAUCCCAGGGUUUAACCCUGGAACUGCCUUCAAUACUGUCAGUCUUGAGUAUGGGAGAGGUGAGUGGAAUUCCUAGUGUAGAGGUGAAAUUCAUAGAUAUUAGGAGGAACACCAGUGGCGAAGGCGGCUCACUGGCCCAUUACUGACGCUGAGGUACGAAAGCGUGGGGAGCAAACAGGAUUAGAAACCCUAGUAGUCC
rnacentral:rRNA from 1 species